rnacentral:lncRNA from 1 species
CCCAUUCACUCCUUUCCUGUGUAUCUCACAACUUUGCCAGAGCUGUAGUUCCCUCAGGUAAACAGUUUCCUUGCCUUCCUUCUUCCAGGGGUAACAGUAAGAUUUUGCUCUUUUUCUAGUGCUUUUUACUUACAGCUUGGUAAGCACCUUCUCAUUUUUCACACAGAAAAAUAGACAUAGAUGACUGAGUGCAUUGGUCUCCAUCAGACUCUGGAAUAGUUAAAUAUCACUUCACCCCCCAACAGAGCCUUAAUCUGAAGGACUUUUCAUCUCCAGAGUACAGCAGUUAGGAAUAGGUGUAGAAAGAGAGAAACUCUGGAGAAACCAAGUACCAACUUCAGUCAACAUCACUUCACCCCCCAACAGAGCCUUAAUCUGAAGGACUUUCCAUCUCCAGAGUACAGCAAUUAGGUAAGAUUUAAUG